CGCACAUUGCGCCCCCUGGUAUUCCGGGGGGCAUGCCUGUCCGAGCGUCAUUGCAACCCUCAAGCCUGGCUUGGUAUUGGGCGUCGCCUUUGACGAGGCGUGCCUGAAAAACAGUGGGUGUGUCCGGUGUGACUUUGGGCGUAGUAAAUUUUCUCCCGCUCUGAAAGCCUCCCCGUGGCGCCCAGAACUCUCCAAUGAAUUGACCUCGGAUCAGGUAGGGAUACCCGCUGAACUUAA
rnacentral:misc_RNA from 1 species